GAACGCUAGCUACAGGCUUAACACAUGCAAGUCGAGGGGCAGCAUGGUCUUAGCUUGCUAAGGCCGAUGGCGACCGGCGCACGGGUGAGUAACACGUAUCCAACCUGCCGUCUACUCUUGGACAGCCUUCUGAAAGGAAGAUUAAUACAAGAUGGCAUCAUGAGUCCGCAUGUUCACAUGAUUAAAGGUAUUCCGGUAGACGAUGGGGAUGCGUUCCAUUAGAUAGUAGGCGGGGUAACGGCCCACCUAGUCUUCGAUGGAUAGGGGUUCUGAGAGGAAGGUCCCCCACAUUGGAACUGAGACACGGUCCAAACUCCUACGGGAGGCAGCAGUGAGGAAUAUUGGUCAAUGGGCGAGAGCCUGAACCAGCCAAGUAGCGUGAAGGAUGACUGCCCUAUGGGUUGUAAACUUCUUUUAUAAAGGAAUAAAGUCGGGUAUGGAUACCCGUUUGCAUGUACUUUAUGAAUAAGGAUCGGCUAACUCCGUGCCAGCAGCCGCGGUAAUACGGAGGAUCCGAGCGUUAUCCGGAUUUAUUGGGUUUAAAGGGAGCGUAGAUGGAUGUUUAAGUCAGUUGUGAAAGUUUGCGGCUCAACCGUAAAAUUGCAGUUGAUACUGGAUAUCUUGAGUGCAGUUGAGGCAGGCGGAAUUCCUGGUGUAGCGGUGAAAUGCUUAUAUAUCACGAAGGAAUUCCGAUGGGAAGGGCAGCCUGUUAAGGUGCAACUGACAUUGAGGGCUCGGAAAGUGUGGGUAUCAAAACAGGGAUUAGAUACCCUGGUAGUCCACACGGUAAACGAUGAAUACUCGCUGUUUGCGAUAUACGGCAAGCGGCCAAGCGAAAGCGUUAAGUAUUCCACCUGGGGAGUACGCCGGCAACGGUGAAACUCAAAGGAAUUGACGGGGGCCCGCACAAGCGGAGGAACAUGUGGUUUAAUUCGAUGAUACGCGAGGAACCUUACCCGGGCUUAAAUUGCAGAUGAAUUACGGUGAAAGCCGUAAGCCGCAAGGCAUCUGUGAAGGUGCUGCAUGGUUGUCGUCAGCUCGUGCCGUGAGGUGUCGGCUUAAGUGCCAUAACGAGCGCAACCCUUGUUGUCAGUUACUAACAGGUUCCGCUGAGGACUCUGACAAGACUGCCAUCGUAAGAUGUGAGGAAGGUGGGGAUGACGUCAAAUCAGCACGGCCCUUACGUCCGGGGCUACACACGUGUUACAAUGGGGGGUACAGAGGGCCGCUACCACGCGAGUGGAUGCCAAUCCCAAAAACCUCUCUCAGUUCGGACUGGAGUCUGCAACCCGACUCCACGAAGCUGGAUUCGCUAGUAAUCGCGCAUCAGCCACGGCGCGGUGAAUACGUUCCCGGGCCUUGUACACACCGCCCGUCAAGCCAUGGGAGCCGGGGGUACCUGAAGUGCGUAACCGCGAGGAGCGCCCUAGGGUAAAACUGGUGACUGGGG
rnacentral:rRNA from 1 species